GUCUAUGUCUGCUCUUUUUGUAUUUGAUUGACAUUGUAAAUCCUCAUGUGUCCUCUCUUGGCGUUACGGAAUUCUUUCCAGUCUAUUUAUUAUUGAUUUUCAGCUCCAUUGACCUUAAUACCUACGUAUUAUUCCUUUUCAACAUACAGUGGUCAUAACUUAUAUUGUAUAUACGCAUUUUUUGGUGGUAAAAAAGUAACUAAGCCCUACAUGCUAAACUGCAAUUAAAAGAACUUACGCAUAUUUUUUAAAUACAU
rnacentral:lncRNA from 1 species